rnacentral:rRNA from 1 species
AACGAACGUUAGCGGCGCGCCUAACACAUGCAAGUCGCACGAGAAAGGGAGCAAUCCCCGGUACAGUGGCGCACGGGUGAGUAACACGUAGGUAAUCUGCCUCCGAGUGGUGGAUAACCUUCCGAAAGGAGGGCUAAUACAGCAUGAGACCACGACCACGAGAGUGGAUGGGGUCAAAGCCGGCCUCUAUACAUAAGCUGGCGCUUGGAGAUGAGCCUGCGGCCCAUCAGCUAGUUGGUAGGGUAAUGGCCUACCAAGGCAAAGACGGGUAGCUGGUCUGAGAGGAUGAUCAGCCACACUGGAACUGAGACACGGUCCAGACUCCUACGGGAGGCAGCAGUGGGGAAUCUUGCGCAAUGGGCGAAAGCCUGACGCAGCGACGCCGCGUGGGUGACGAAGGCCUUCGGGUUGUAAAGCCCUGUGGGGGAGGAAGGAAUAAGUAGGGUGCGGAAUAGCACACAUGAUGACGGUAUCCCUUAGCAAGCACCGGCUAACU